rnacentral:rRNA from 1 species
UACGUAGGGUGCAAGCGUUGUCCGGAAUUAUUGGGCGUAAAGAGCUCGUAGGCGGUUUGUUGCGUCGGCUGUGAAAUCCCGAGGCUCAACCUCGGGUCUGCAGUCGAUACGAGCAAACUAGAGUGUUGCAGGGGAGACUGGAAUUCCUGGUGUAGCGGUGAAAUGCGCAGAUAUCAGGAGGAACACCGGUGGCGAAGGCGGGUCUCUGGGAUGAUGCUGACGCUGAUGCGCGAAAGCCAGGGGAGCAAACGGG